rnacentral:rRNA from 1 species
UGGGGAAUAUUGCACAAUGGGCGCAAGCCUGAUGCAGCAACGCCGCGUGAACGAUGAAGGUCUUCGGAUCGUAAAGUUCUGUUGCAGGGGAAGAUAAUGACGGUACCCUGUGAGGAAGCCCCGGCUAACUACGUGCCAGCAGCCGCGGUAAUACGUAGGGGGCUAGCGUUAUCCGGAUUUACUGGGCGUAAAGGGUGCGUAGGUGGUCUUUCAAGUCGGUGGUUAAAGGCUACGGCUCAACCGUAGUUAGCCUCCGAAACUGGAAGACUUGAGUGCAGAAGAGGAAAGUGGAAUUCCCAGUGUAGCGGUGAAGUGCGUAGAUAUUGGGAGGAAAACCAGUAGCGAAGGCGGCUUUCUGGACGGCAACUGACACUGAGGCACGAAAGCGUGGGUAGCAAACAGG